rnacentral:lncRNA from 1 species
UGAAAGUUAUUGGAAACUCAUUCAAUGUUAUAAAUUUGAAAGAAUAUUACCCCUGUUGGUGAAAACAUUAAGAACAAAGUCAAUAUUCCUCUCAUGGCAGCUAGGGUAGAACAAUUACUUAUUCCUUACAGUUAUGCCUGAAUUAUUCCACAAAAGAGCUUUAUGUGGGGUAAAAUUGUACAGGAAACAUUAAAGAUUGUUGGUGAAACCUACACUGAAAAAACGGGACAGAUUUAUGUGAUUUACUCAAACAUGUUUUGUUUCUCCUCACAACACAAUUUCAUUGUUUGCGAUCAAUGCAACACGAAGCAAAAUCUGAUCUACUAGUUUGAAUCAUGUAGUUGGAGUGUGAACCAAUAAAGCUAAUUCAUGACGAGUAAUGAGGAAGAAGUCAAACCGCGUGAGAGAAGAAUCUUCCAGAAAGAUCCUUGGCGCGUUAGCGGAGAAGACAAUAUCUAGAAUCGUGGUCAAGGUCCAUGAUGUUUGCCUGCUACAUUUGUGCUGCUUUUGUCUACACAUUCAAAGGAUGUAUAGUGUUGGAGAAACAGAAGAGAGCCUCGAGGACAUGCGGAAAGCUCUACUGUCUGAUGUGAAGAAAAGGAACAACAGAGAGACGGGCAUGGAUGAAGAGUCCACCAAGGCAGCUGUUGAGGACACUACUGUGGGGAUCUACAUUAUCAAAGACCAUUUCGCGAGUGAGGAUCCAGGGGACACUGGGAUUGUCCUUGAAGGCGUCAAGGUGCUGCAGGAUCUGGGCAACGUAGCAUUUGCUGUUGCAAUGCUGUUCGGCCUCAUGUAUGCCAUGAACCUCAGUUACCCUAACUGAGCCCCGCUACACUUUUGAUGUCUUUCAGAAGGUUUUUAUGGAACUGAAUGGGGACAAACUUUCUAACAAAGCUGUUGCAUUUAAAAACAGGCUGUUUCAGUGAGCUGUUUUGUUGUAUGUUGUGUUUCACACUGUAUGUUUGACUUAUGUUUAACUUGUUAGAUUGUUCACAAAAACUCAAAACAGAAUGAGCAUGUCCAAAGAUGGAGCUAUCGUGAUUUCCUUAAUUUUCUUUGCUGCUUAUGGAAAAAGUUCAGUUUCACUUUGUAGUGACUUUUAGUCAAUAUAAUUAACAUGCACAAAUAUGUCCACAUACCUACCUCAUUCUUUGUCUGUUACUCCUUAUGAAAAAUAACUACCUCAUUUUGUAACAAAAUGCAUUAGAGGGCCCAAUCAUUGUUAGGACAACUCUUCUUUUUUUAUAUAUACAGAUACUGUAUAAAGGCUACAGCCCCUUGAUUUAGACCUGUGCAAUUCAUUGAACACUGAAUGUCAGUGAAUGGACAUUUGUCAUUCCAAAGAGCUGAACCGUUACAAAAAAUACAAUAUCAUUUUUGAAACGCAUGCCUUUGCCUUCUUUGUCACUGAUGCAAAUGGUCUCUUGCUCCUUGGUUACACAUCCUUAGAAAACGUUUUAUUUCCCUAUUAAUUUGUUUAAAUACAAACACUAAGGCAGAAAAUGACAGCAUUUCAUCUUGUGCUUACAUUAAUAAUUAUGUAGAACCUUAAAUUAUGGACAAAGUUAUUCAUAAUUAUGAGUAACAUCGGAACAUGAUCAAAUACAUUUCAAG